AUUAUACUCCCUCCCUUCCAUAAUUUUUGUCGAAAUAUUACAUGUAUCUAAACGUUUUUUAAGAAUAGAUACAUCCAUUUUUAGGCAAAUUUGAGACAAAAAUUAUGGAAGGGAGGGAGUGGUAU
rnacentral:pre_miRNA from 1 species